GUCCUCGCAGCAGCUAACGAUGGCUCACCGCUUGUGUAGCUACAGCAGCUAGCUAGCCAUCUGCCUUCUAUUCGUAUUUAUUUCUCUACACAAUAGAAAAGCGAUGUGCUCUCGUGCCUCAUGCAGCUCUUCUGUGUUGCACGUCAAUACUUUGAGACAAACAAGGGGCGUCAAUCUAACGUAAAUGCUUUUCAAUAAAUGUCUUUAGUUCUGCACAAUGAACAUGAAUCUCAGAUUAAAUGAUUAAUAUUCCCCAAAUUCCAAUUAACUACACUUCCGCUGUUACAGAGGGGAAACACUGUAAUCAUACUGUAAACUUUCAAAAGUUCAUAUAUUGUGCAUAGUUUGAAGUGAAAAAAAACUUUUCUUCAGUUGUGUUUGGGUUCAGGCUGUUUAGGAUCGGUAUCGGAAAACCCAAACGAUACUCAUCCCUACUCUCAUGUCUGCGCGCUCAACGUGAAGCUAAAGCCAGCCGCUGGUUAGCUUAGCAUGAAGACUGGAGACAAGAGGGCUCGAAAGGGAUGUUUAAAAAUCCGGAUUCAACAGUUUACAAAUUUCCGACUUGAUGAAACAAUGGACAAAAAUCGUUCUUUAUUUAUUCUUUAAGUGUUUGCUUUCAAGAUCAAGAUGGGGUCAUAGAAAAAAACAAGUAGAGCAAAGUGUUUUAUGCACCAUGUCAAGUGGAUGAGCUCCAUCAAUACAAAUACACACACACAUUUACUCUAAAGGCUCAUUUGCAUAUUGUAGAUACCUUCACUGUAACCAUAGAGACGUUACAUCAUGAUGGAACAUUUCUCCAUGUUCCAUGUUCCAUGUUCUAUGUUCUAUGCUCCGUUCACCACAGCAUAAGAACACAGUCUGUUGCACAUCCAGUCAGUCAGUUUCAAACCUCGCAUCUACACACUGAAGUUUUCCGGACCUACACUUGCAGAACGCAACCAUGUAAUGCCUCAGGAGUCUGUAGAGGGAAUGAAGACGCGUUCUGCUGCACUUAACAGAGCUCAAGACCAACGGGACGCCAUCAGGACGCCACGUCAACGGGACGCCAUCAGGGUGCCAUCAGGACGCCACGUCAACGGGACGCCAUCAGGACGUCACGUCAACCCCUCAGGAGCAAAUCCAGAUCUACGCAUGACACACAUACACACACACACACAGAUACCAACAGGACGCCAUCAGGACGCCACGUCUUCGGGACGCCAUCAGGACGCCACGUCAUCGGGACGCCAUCAGGACGCCACGUCAUCGGGACGCCAUCAGGAUUCCAUCAGGACGCCGCGUCAACCCCUCCGGAGCAAACCUAGAUCUACUCAUGACACACACACACAGAUGAACUGCUUCAGAUGUUUUCCCAAUGAUUGUAUUAUUAUUAUUAUUGUUAAAU
ensembl:lncRNA